rnacentral:rRNA from 1 species
GACGAACGCUGGCGGCGUGCUUAACACAUGCAAGUCGAACGGAAAGGCCCUGCUUGCAGGGUACUCGAGUGGCGAACGGGUGAGUAACACGUGGGUGAUCUGCCCUGCACUUCGGGAUAAGCCUGGGAAACUGGGUCUAAUACCGGAUAUGACCUUCCAUGUAGUGUGGGGAGUGGAAAGAUUUAUCGGUGUGGGAUGAGCCCGCGGCCUAUCAGCUUGUUGGUGGGGUAAUGGCCUACCAAGGCGUCGACGGGUAGCCGGCCUGAGAGGGUGGACGGCCACAUUGGGACGGAGAUCCGCCCCAGACUCCUACGGGAGGCAGCAGUGGGGAAUAUUGCACAAUGGGCGGAAGCCUGAUGCAGCGACGCCGCGUGGGGGAUGACGGCCUUCGGGUUGUAAACCUCUUUCGACAGGGACGAAGCUUCGGUGACGGUACCUGUAUAAGAAGCACCGGCUCACUACG